UCAACUGACUGAGCCACCCAGGCGCCCCACUAAUAAUAUGUUUUGACCUCAAACUUAAUUUUGUUUCUUCCUCUCUCAGGUACAGCCUCAAGUAUAUCAAGGUAAGAUUUUAGGUUUUAGUAUUCUUUGUAAUUUUUUUUCAGUACUCGUGUUUGAUGUGGAUUUUAAUUUUUUAACUAGGGAUAAAUAUGGUGUCUUCUGAUGUCUAAUUAAUUGACUGUUAGGAGGCUAAGUGACAAUGUGGAGGGAUUUGCUCUCUUAAGAGACCAGGGGAGGAAAACAUCACAGGAGGAAGAAGAACAGAAUGAGUGUAAUUCUGCACAAAAAUGGUUAGGAAACAAGUGAUGAUAUAUGAUCCUGAGGUUUGGAGUGAGUACUUUGCCAUGACCUGGCUCUUGAUGAAAUGUGAAGAUGAGAAAACCUUCUUUGAGUCUAUCAAGAAGCCUAAGCUUAGAGAAGAAGCCAGAUAUUGCCAGGAAGGGUGUGUGUCACAAGAGAGGUUUAAACCAAGGUUUUGAGUCUGAGGUGGAGGGAGCCAAUCAUGCCAGGGGAGAAUGAGAAGUGAAUGUGAUACAAAUGGGGGUAAUGUAUUCUGCAUGGGCCCCAUAGACGGUGGUGAUUCUGUGGUGCUGUCUUGAGAGGGUGGCUGCCUGACCCAUAACAAGUCCGCAAAGGCUAGUUGGUAUUCAUCACUGUGAAUGCAGCGGUGGUGGCAGUGAGAAGAGUGAUCUCAGGGCAUGAGAGCUCUCACACUGGGUCAACAGAAGAGAAGUUUGCACUUUGUGGUCAGAUGAGAGAAUUAAUUCCUGUUAAAGGAGUCUGUCUAGAGCUUACAUGUGUUAUCCACCUGUAAUUGGGUGCUUCGUGUGUGUUGUUUUCCUCUAAGGUGGGAGGUAACAUUCUCUUUUUGGGAUGUAAAGCUUCUCUUUUAGGGGCUGUGAGUUAUCCAGAUCCUCCAGCAAGUGUGUUUUUUUCCAAAGACCUUGUCCUCCACAGCCCCCAAGCUAGGAUUCAUGAAAGGCAAUCUGUGAGCAGCAGGAAGUCAUUGAAGACUUUUGGGUAGUCAAUCAAUCAACAUUUGGAGCUUUCCUUGUGUGGAAUUCAAAUAGCACCUAUAAGUGGAAGUGGCACAAACCAGGACUAAAUGAUGGAUUUGAUUAUUUGUUUGUUGGCAGGGACCUACUUACGUAAUUUUAUGAUUGGAGGAGAGAAACAUAAGUUGAUAGGAUUUGAUUUUUCUCUUUCAUCUCUGGUGGUGACAUAAGUACUUGGAGUGAUUGAAUUUUCCAAGAAGGGUGCAUCCAGAUGGGAGAGAAAUUAGGAGAAGACAUUUUAUUGCACUUCUCCAUUUUGGACGAUAUUUUAAAUAGGAAUCUCGUUGAUAUAAGGUUUUCUUAGGUUUAAAAUGCUGCUAAAACUUGAUUUCUUCAGGCACAAUGGAAAGCUAAAAAGUUACUUACACCCCCCGUCAGAUAAUGUGUCUGUACUAAUGCACUGAGAUUAUUCGAUGUUACUGGGUUUGCUAAUAAUCUUAGAAAUUGUUUUCUCUCCUUUUAGUUAGUUUAUAGCUAAUAACUGAGAAUAUCAAUACAUUUAAAAAGAAAACAGAACUUGCUGAUGAAGUAUCCAUUUGGGAGCAGAAGGGAUCAUUACCCUUUCAAAGAUUUUUUCUGAUUUCAUUUUGGUUAUUUGUACCUCUGGUAGUGUAUCCUACUGACCUAUUUCAUGUGUUCUAUAAACAGUUCUAGUUCAAGACAAGCUUCACAAAUGUCAAGCACUGUCUGUUUAUUUGUGGAAGGAAUCACACAUUAAAAGAUAGUUUUGUCUAUCACUAUGCUAUUUGUGAAUUCUAAUCCUUUGUCAUAUGUUUUAUAGAUCAAUGAAUCAAAGAAAUGUCUUUAAGAAACUAAGAGAAAUUAAGUUUCUUUCUGAUGAAGCUCUUAAAUUAAAGGAGGACAUCGAAACAGUUGAAUAUUUUAAUGAAAUUUUAAGUGACAGUCUUCAAAGUGCACGUGCUACCUUGCAAUCUGAGAGAGAGAAGAAUGUCAAGAAUAAGGGCUUGUCACAAGAUGGAAAUGGUGAAUUCGAGGAUUGAGAGCUGACAACCUUGAGGUCCAAUAACUGUGAACUGGAAGAAAAUAAAAAGGCCUUAGAAGACAAGUAUAAUGCCUUGAGGUCUGUGAAAGCAAUCAAGGAAGUAAAAGUCAAACAGCUGAAGGAGAAAGCACAUAUCCUUGAAGAAUUCUAUAAACAAAGAAGAGUGGCUGCAGAAGAGAAACUGAAAAUGGCACAAUGUGAACUGGUGGCAAUUGAGAAUCAACUGGAAGUUACAGAGGAAAAUUUGAAAAUAGCUAACAAGGAAAUAUACAAGUACAAGUGAGUUCAGAUACUAAUUAGCAGUGGCUCAUGAAACCCCUGUCCAUUUCUUGUUUUUCACAUUUGUACAAAUUUAGACUCAAUUAACAAGUAAUAUAAAUACAUAUUCAGAGGACAUAUCCAUAGAGAAUGAACAGAUAGAAAAAGAUAAGGUUUAGAAAGAACAAAAAACAGUCAAGUUACUAAACAUUUACAGAACUCCAGUAUUGGCCUGACCAUGUGGAAACUUCAUCCAUGCCAACAUUCCUCAGGGGUGGUGUCAACUCUCAUAAUCUAUAGGAAAGCAGUGUGUGGUAGGAUGAAUUAUACCCAUCAACAUGGUAGUGCCAUUUGAUGGCCCUGGUUUUUGGGAAAUAUGGUGAAGAUAUAUGUUAAGGGACAAAGAGCUUUAUGAUGAAAGACACUUGUCACAUGAUGAAUUAGGGAAAGAUUAAAAAUGGGAAGGAAUUCUAUGAACUCUGAACCCUAUAGGCAUGGAAUAAUGAGUAAGGAAAGGAUGUAACAAUAGCUUUGAUCCUACUGUACAUUUAUAAUCAUGUAAGAAUAAAUUGUAUCGGGGACAGAUACGAGGUUGAUGGGAACGUGGGCAGAUUAUUUAAAAUCAUACCCAAUAUUGGGCCUUAUCUGCCAAAAGCAAUUGUAACUCACAGGCAGCAAAUUGAACAAACACAAGAACAGCUGCAGCAGGCAGAGCUCACCUUCAGACACCAGGUAAUCUGAGUUCUGCCUGACAUACUGAACCCUUAGCACCUCAUGCAGGUGAGUGUAGUGGCCCUUGGAAUCCCUAAACACGGGCUUUUCAUUGUUGGCUUUUUCAGAUUGCAGUUCAUGAGAAGAAUGCUCAGCACAACUGGAUAAGUGUUUUCUUGUUUCCUCCUCUUUCUUUGGUGCACAGUCUGGCAAGACUGAAGGUGGAUGUGUUUUUUCUCCCCCAGAUCAAGACUCAGAUCUGGGACAGGGAGAUGGCAGAACAGAGCAGGGAGGUCGCCCACUUGAAACAGACUGGAUGUUAUGGAAGGAAAGAGGCUGCCUGAGGGACACAUGGGACAGAAACCAAUGCCUGGAAGACCAAAGAUGCAGAACCCUCCAAGGAGAGGGCCAUUAGCAAAUCCAGAAACCAGUGUGACCUCUGUGAGUUACAGCACCUCUGACUGUACCAAGAAUGCAGGCAAGGACAAGAGAUUAAGAUCACCUCUGGCUGUCAAAGACCCUAAGCUGCUGGUGACUUCUAAACUUCUAAGCUGCUGGUGACUUCUCAGCCAGGCUGCUGAGAGACAACACGUAGGCAUAAUAAGGUAAUCUUCAACAGUAGAUGGGACAUAUGAAAAAGACACAGGAACCAUCUGAAAGGAUUGCCACUGAUCAGAUCAAGACAACCUGAACAUCAAAAUAAAUCAUGGCAGGAAUGGUUUCCCAAUACUGAAUGAUAAACAAUCCAUGAGUCUACAGUGAUACCUAAAAAACAUUUUUAAAAUGGGGAUUGGAGAAAAGAGAAAUACCUUUACAAAAGAUUACACACAAAUAAAGGUAGAAAUAGAAAAUGGAGAUAAGAAAUCACCUUUUAAAAACCAUCAUUCUAACAGUUUGGCCACCAAUUAUCAGUAGAUGCUAAAGUUGUUGGGUGAAAUAAUGUUGGGGCAUAGGAAAUGGACUGUGGGAACCCAGUGAACUUAAUAACUAACAUACAAAGAAACCAGGCUGUGUCAUGUGGCUCAUGAUGCAGGGUCAGUGUGAAGGGCACAAUAUCAGACAGUAAAAGAUUUUGAAAAGAGAAGAAAAAACAGAAAAGUAUAGACAAAUAGAAUGCACAUAUUGGUGGUGAAUGUAAAGUCCAAGAGAAGAAGGUCACAUUGAAUUCACUGGAUAAAAAGAUCCUGUUAAAAAUCAACAACUAGCUAAACCAACCAACCAACCAACAACCAUAAGCUGGUGACAUGAUACUCAUCUAAAAUGCAAGGUCAUAGACAUUUUGAAAAUAAGACACUGGAAAAAACUAAAGUAUGCAAACACCAAUCAAAGAAAAGCUGCUCUGGGUAUAGUAAUAUCAGAUAAAAUAUACAGAAGGCAAAAAGCAUUGCUAGAUAUAAAGCAAGUUGGUACAAAGUAAUAAAAGGUAUAGUUCACCAAGAAAGGAAAAGUUGUGCAUCCCCAUUUACAUGGCUGGCAACCGUAUAAAGGGAAGUAUGCCAAAAACUGCAAGAAGAAUCAAAUCCUCAAGCAGAGUGGGAGAUUUUUUCACAGCCCUCUCUCAGCAACUGAUAAUGGGCAGACCCCAAAUCAGUAAGGAUGCAGAAGAUUUGAACAGGAAGCCAUCUUAAUAUAGAUUAUAUACAUAGACAUAUAUAGAAAUAUAUGUAGGUAGUAUAUAUAAACAUAUGUUAAAUAAAUAGUUAAAAU